rnacentral:rRNA from 1 species
UACGAAGGGGGGCUAGCGUUGCUCGGAAUGACUGGGCGUAAAGGGCGCGUAGGCGGCUUGCACAGUCAGGCGUGAAAUUCCUGGGCUCAACCUGGGGACUGCGCUUGAGACGUGUGGGCUUGAGUGGGGAAGAGGGUCGUGGAAUUCCCAGUGUAGAGGUGAAAUUCGUAGAUAUUGGGAAGAACACCGGUGGCGAAGGCGGCGACCUGGUCCUUGACUGACGCUGAGGCGCGAAAGCGUGGGGAGCGAACAGG